AGAGUAGAAAUUCAUUUUACAAGUGGUGGACAACUAAAGGAGAUCUGUCUCCAGCUGAUCAAAGGGAAGGUUAAAAGAACCUGAAGCCAGACAAAUUCAGAUCCGAAGUACAAUAAACACCUCUGGAUCACCUACGGCAAAAGUUCAUUCAUUCCAAGAAGAUUUCAGCCAGACUCAGCAGCAGUACAGAGGAGCCCCUCGACUGCCCCUCAUCACCAUAUGAAAGAGGACAGAAAGCAUGUGUCUACCUUACUGAUUGGCGUGUUGCACAGACAGAAGGACUGGGGCUCAAUUUGCUGCGGUGUGCCAUGGUUCUUGGAUCACAGAGCUAUACCGUCUCUUUCCUGGUGAUGAAGUUCACACUAGCUGCAAGUGUAGGCAUGCAUCAUGCAAGCAUAAAGAGCUAAUUGUUGUAGGACCUUACACUCACAUUACAAAGAGGGUGUAUGUGUUCCUCCAGUACACUGCUUCAUCCGUGGUUCCACCAGGAGAGUAAAGAAGUCACACAAAUUCAUUGUACCUAUCUGUGUUUACUGCAUGACUGCAAACACAGGUGCUAUGUUUCAAAGACUCCUAAGCAAUAAGAUUUCAGAAGAUGUUUUAUAAAUGGGGAAGCGAUCAACAUUAUGAAGUUUGUAACUGACACAGGUAUGUGAUGAAAAGUUCAAAGAUGAAGUAAUUUCACUUGUGUUAUGCCACUGAUGGCACUAACUUACAGAGCAAGUUUUUGUCUCAGAUACUCCAAAGCAGCUCUAGUUGACUACAGCAUGCGCACACAGUCUAGGAUGUAGCCUUUAGCUAUUGAAACUUCUGGGGGCUGUUUUUGGUUUUGUUCCAUUUUACUAUUGGAGGCAGCAAAAUGAAUUCUGACCUGGGCUCUAGAGCAAUGUCUUUGGGCUGUGACACUGGGGCAAAGCAAGAGUUACAAGAAAACAGAAUUUAAAAGACGGUGUGUUCAAUGCACUGACUCUCUCUGGUUAUGUAUUCACUCAGUAAUCAAUGAACAACAGAGAAACUCUCAACAUGAGUAUAAAGAUGUCAGAAUCAGUUCCUUAAUCUUGAUGCGGUUUAAAUAUUACUUCUGGCUAAGUAUUACAUCUGAACCAAUCACAUAAUUUGAGCUUACAGCAAGAGUUUGUUCCUGAGCUGAUUCAUGUCAGUUUUAUACUUGUAAACAUCUUUUGAUUUCAGUGGCGUUAAUUCAUAUUUUCAAUAACUCAAUGAGAACAGAAUAUGGAGUAGAGUCUUAAAGUGUCUUUUCAGAACAGCCAGGGAACUCCCUUGGCACAUGAAGAAAAAUUGCUAUUGUCAGUAUCAGAGACAAAAAAUGAAACCAGUCAGGAUACAGUAGGAGUCUUCACUGAAACUAAUACAGAGGUGAAAUGCACAGCUCCUUGAAUGAGAUCAUCUCCUUGAAAGUCAGUAUUGUACAGUACAUGAAGGCUGUUAUUGCAUUGCUCUUUCCGCAUAAGAUAGGGUGUAUAAGCUAAGCAUUGCAUGCAAGGGCCAAGACACUAAACUAAUUUUACUAAGAUCCAUUUAUGUUAAAUCAAAGAAGAGGGUAGAUUUGAAAAAGAAGGUGCAAAUAGUAUAUUUCUAAUAUCUUCUCUGUCAAAAAUUAUCUGAGUUUAAGAGAAAGGAAGAAAUAAGAACUGGGAGGUUGAUGGAAGGUUAAAACAUUCACAAAACAAACUUGAUUUAUUCAAGCUUUUCGAAGUCCCAAGAAACAUGUUUAAUGGGAGCUGAAAGACUUGCAAAGAAACCUUAUUGUGGUGCACAGCAAAAUAAUGUGGAAAAAAAACCCCCUCCAUAUUUCUUCAGCCUCUAGCUUAGCUCUCACUGUAGGGAAUCUUGCUGUGAAGAGAUUAAUCACUGCUGCUUAAUAGUAUCUCUGCUGGUUGCUCCAGGAUAGCAACUAGCACAUAAUGCAGCAGAUGCAUUCUUCUUUUAGUAUGGCACCUAGCGUACUGUGAAUGUGCCAAAGGGAUUUCAAACUUGCCUUACCUUACUUACAAGUUGUGCAGUUGGUGCACAACUGACCAGCAGAUGCUGGAAGCACAUUACUUGGCUCUCCAGAGGGCACAGAUUCUGGAGGAGGAUGAAAUAGUUUCUUUUGUCCCCUCUCCCUGCUUUUGUUUUAUGGAGGAAGCAAAGGAACUGCCUCCUACAAAUCUAGCUAGCUACCAGGCUACUUCUAGAACUAGGUCUCAAAGAUUUUCCCUCUUCUGAAGCUAGUCCUUACUGAAACUUCAUUAGGGAUUUUGGCUUCUCGUCUUGAUCUCACUCUU